AGGACGAACGCUGGCGGCGUGCUUAACACAUGCAAGUCGAACGAGGCGCUUGCGCCUAGUGGCGAACGGGUGAGUAACACGUGAGCAACCUGCCCUUGGCUCUGGGAUAGCCUCCGGAAACGGGGAUUAAUACCGGACAUGACCUUCUCCUGCAUGGGGGAGGGUGGAAAGUUUUUCGGCCAGGGAGGGGCUCGCGGCCCAUCAGCUUGUUGGGGGGGUAACGCCCACCAAGGCGACGACGGGUAGCCGG
rnacentral:rRNA from 1 species